UACGGGGGGGGCAAGCGUUGCUCGGAAUCACUGGGCGUAAAGGGCGCGUAGGCGGGGAGGUAAGUCGGGUGUGAAAUCCCUCGGCCCAACCGAGGAACUGCGCCCGAGACUGCUUCUCUUGAGUCCCGGAGAGGAAGAUGGAAUUCCCGGUGUAGCGGUGGAAUGCGUAGAGAUCGGGAAGAACAUCCGUGGCGAAGGCGGCCUGGUGGGCUGUUGGUUACGCUGAGGCGCGACAGCGUGGGGAGCAAACAGG
rnacentral:rRNA from 1 species